GAUGAAGAACGCAGCGAAAUGCGAUACUUGGUGUGAAUUGCAGAAUCCCGUGAACCAUCGAGUCUUUGAACGCAAGUUGCGCCCGAAGCCAUUAGGCCGAGGGCACGCCUGCCUGGGCGUCACACGUCGUUGCCCCCCCAUCUACUCCUUCGGGAUUGCGGGGGGCGGAUGAUGGCCUCCCGUGCGCCUCGCCGCGCGGUUGGCAUAAAUGCCAAGUCCUCGGCGACGCACGCCACGACAAUCGGUGGUUGCGAAACCUCGGUUGCCCGUCGUGUGCGGUCGUCGCGCAUCGAGGGCUCGAAAAAAUUGCCGGGUUCCGGCUCGGCUUUCAACGCGACCCCAGGUCAGGCGGGGUUACCGCUGAAUUUAAGCAUAUCAAUAAGCGGAGGA
rnacentral:misc_RNA from 1 species